CUCAAAAUACAACAGAGAGUCUUGAAAUUGCACGCAAACAUUAUGCGACCUCACUGAAACUGAAACCAUCUAACCUCCGGUCACUCUAUGGCCUGUAUCAGACUGCAGUGAGUCUUGGAAGACACUUGAAAAAGAAAGAAGCAAAAGUUAGGAAUGAUAACAUUGCACAGUGGUGCAUGUCACAGCUUUUGGAGACCUAUCAGGAGAAUUGUAACAUGGAGCAAUUGAAAGUUUUAGAAAAUUUCCUCAAGCCCCCGUCGAAA